rnacentral:rRNA from 1 species
UACGUAGGGGGCUAGCGUUGUCCGGAAUCAUUGGGCGUAAAGAGCGUGUAGGCGGUCCGGUAAGUCCGCUGUGAAAGUCGGGGGCUCAACCCUCGAAUGCCGGUGGAUACUGUCGGGCUAGAGUGCGGAAGAGGCGAGUGGAAUUCCUGGUGUAGCGGUGAAAUGCGCAGAUAUCAGGAGGGACACCUAUUGCGAAGGCAGCUCGCUGGGACGUAACUGACGCUGAGACGCGAAAGCGUGGGGAGCAAACAGG